CCUACGGGUGGCAGCAGUGAGGAAUAUUGGUCAAUGGGCGUAAGCCUGAACCAGCCAAGUCGCGUGAGGGAUGAAGGUUCUAUGGAUCGUAAACCUCUUUUAUAAGGGAAUAAAGUGUAGGACGUGUACUGUUUUGUAUGUACCUUAUGAAUAAGGAUCGUAUAACUCCGUGCCAGCAGCCGCGGUAAUACGGUGGAGACGAGCGUUAUCCGGAUUUAUUGGGUUUAAAGGGUGCGUAGGCGGAAUAUCAAGUCAGCGGUAAAAAUUCGGGGCUCAACCCCGUCGUGCCGUUGAAACUGAUGUUCGUGAGUGGGCGAGAAGUAGGCGGAAUGCGUGGUGUAGCGGUGAAAUGCAUAGAUAUCACGCAGGACUCCGAUUGCGAAGGCAGCAUACCGGCGCCCAACUGACGCUGAAGCACGAAAGCGUGGGUAUCGAACAGGAUUAGAUACCCGUGUAGUC
rnacentral:rRNA from 1 species